rnacentral:rRNA from 1 species
CAGUAGCCACGGGAAUACGAAGGGUGCAAGCGUUACUCGGAAUUACUGGGCGUAAAGCGUGCGUAGGUGGUGGUUUAAGUCCGUUGUGAAAGCCCUGGGCUCAACCUGGGAAUUGCAGUGGAUACUGGGUCAUUAGAGUGUGGUAGAGGAUAGUGGAAUUUCCGGUGUAGCAGUGAAAUGCGUAGAGAUCGGAAGGAACAUCUGUGGCGAAGGCGACUAUCUGGGCCAACACUGACACUGAGGCACGAAAGCGUGGGGAGCAAACAGGAUUAGAGACCCCUGUAGUCCCUGUCUCUUAUAC